rnacentral:rRNA from 1 species
CACGGGGGGAGCAAGCGUUGUUCGGAAUCACUGGGCGUAAAGGGCGUGUAGGCGGUCAAGUAAGUGGAAUGUGAAAUGCCCCGGCUCACCCGGGGACCUGCAUCCCAAACUGCUUGGCUUGAGUAUGGGAGAGGAUGAGGGAAUUCCUGGUGUAGCGGUGAAAUGCGUAGAUAUCAGGAGGAACACCGGUGGCGAAGGCGGGUCUCUGGGCCAUAACUGACGCUGAGGAGCGAAAGCGUGGGGAGCGAACAGG